AGGAACACGUGGGAACGUGCCUUUUGGUUCGGAACAACUCAGGGAAACUUGAGCUAAUACCGGAUAAGCCCUUCGGGGGAAAGAUUUAUCGCCAUUAGAGCGGCCCGCGUCUGAUUAGCUAGUUGGUGAGGUAAAGGCUCACCAAGGCGACGAUCAGUAGCUGGUCUGAGAGGAUGAUCAGCCACACUGGGACUGAGACACGGCCCAGACUCCUACGGGAGGCAGCAGUGGGGAAUCUUGCGCAAUGGGCGAAAGCCUGACGCAGCCAUGCCGCGUGAAUGAUGAAGGUCUUAGGAUUGUAAAAUUCCUUCACCGGGGACGAUAAUGACGGUACCCGGAGAAGAAGCCCCGGCUAACUUCGUGCCAGCAGCCGCGGUAAUACGAAGGGGGCUAGCGUUGCUCGGAAUUACUGGGCGUAAAGGGAGCGUAGGCGGAUAGUUCAGUCAGAGGUGAAAGCCCAGGGCUCAACCUUGGAAUUGCCUUUGAUACUGGCUGUCUUGAGUAUGGGAGAGGUUAGCGGAACUCCGAGUGUAGAGGUGAAAUUCGUAGAUAUUCGGAAGAACACCAGUGGCGAAGGCGGCUAACUGGCCCAUUACUGACGCUGA
rnacentral:rRNA from 1 species